rnacentral:rRNA from 1 species
AGAAUCAACGCUGGCGGCGUGCCUAACACAUGCAAGUCGAACGCGAAAGCCCCGCAAGGGGUGAGUAGAGUGGCAAACGGGUGAGUAACACGUGGGUGACCUGCCUCAGAGUGGGGGAUAACGACCCGAAAGGGUCGCUAAUACCGCAUAACAUCCUGCGUUUGGAAACGCGGAGAUCAAAGCCGGGGAUUCGCAAGAACCUGGCGCUUAGAGAGGGGCCCGCGGCCGAUUAGGCUAGUUGGUGAGGUAACGGCUCACCAAGGCGACGAUCGGUA